rnacentral:rRNA from 1 species
UACGUAGGGGGCUAGCGUUGUCCGGAUUUAUUGGGCGUAAAGAGCGUGUAGGCGGCCAGGUAGGUCUGCUGUGAAAACUCGAGGCUCAACCUCGAGACGUCGGCGGAAACCAUCUGGCUAGAGUCCGGAAGAGGAGAGUGGAAUUCCUGGUGUAGCGGUGAAAUGCGCAGAUAUCAGGAGGAACACCGAUUGCGAAGGCAGCUCGCUGGGACGUUACUGACGCUGAGACGCGAAAGCGUGGGGAGCAAACAGG